GUGGGGAAUUUUGGACAAUGGGGGCAACCCUGAUCCAGCCAUUCCGCGUGAGUGAAGAAGGCCUUCGGGUUGUAAAGCUCUUUCGGCAGGAACGAAACGGUGAGCUCUAACAUAGCUCGCUAAUGACGGUACCUGAAGAAGAAGCACCGGCUAACUACGUGCCAGCAGCCGCGGUAAUACGUAGGGUGCGAGCGUUAAUCGGCAUUACUGGGCGUAACGCGUGCGCAGGCGGUUGUGUAAGACAGGUGUGAAAUCCCCGGGCUUAACCUGGGAACUGCGCUUGUGACUGCACGGCUAGAGUAUGGCAGAGGGGGGUGUAAUUCCACGUGUAGCAGUGAAAUGCGUAGAGAUGUGGAGGAACACCGAUGGCGAAGGCAGCCCCCUGGGCCAAUACUGACGCUCAUGCACGAAAGCGUGGGGAGCAAACAGGAUUAGAAACCCUGGUAGUCC
rnacentral:rRNA from 1 species